CUGCCCUUUCAUCUCUCCCCAGCAGAGGAAAGAGGGGAGACCACAUAACUGAGCUGUGAUCCAAGAGAGGCCAGUAACAUCACAUUUGGAAUUCUGCCAUCCAUCCCAUGUUGAAGAACACCAAUUUACCAGGGACUACCUUGGACUUUGGAUGAAAGAAUGAAAGAUUUUGAGGUUAAGAUGACUCAUGAACAGCUGAGCAGCCAGUCAGGAGAAGAAACCAAAAUAGAACGGAAACGCCUCCAUUCCCACCCCCACGCUCAACCUCCAGCCUCCAGCGCACCCUGCUUAGUUGAUGGAAGCGUGAUGUGCCUGGGAGUGAACUGUGAAGAGCUUCCUGCAAGUUAAUGAGCUGCCUGAGGAAGAGUGGGCUCUCCCUGGAGACGAGUGAGCACAGCUCACUCUCAGUGCAGCUGAUAAAAAUGAAAGACUUCGCAAAGCA